AAUAAAGUGCCUGAAUCCUAAGGAUUAUUUUGAUAGAAUAAAUUAUGUAAAUAUUAUUACCUUUAUUA
rnacentral:tRNA from 1 species